GUGGGGAAUAUUGGACAAUGGGCGAAAGCCUGAUCCAGCCAUGCCGCGUGUGUGAAGAAGGUCUUCGGAUUGUAAAGCACUUUAAGUUGGGAGGAAGGGUAGUAACCUAAUACGUUGCUACUUUGACGUUACCGACAGAAUAAGCACCGGCUAACUUCGUGCCAGCAGCCGCGGUAAUACGAAGGGUGCAAGCGUUAAUCGGAAUUACUGGGCGUAAAGCGCGCGUAGGUGGUUCAGUAAGUUGGAAGUGAAAUCCCCGGGCUCAACCUGGGAACUGCCUCCAAAACUGCAUGACUAGAGUACGAUAGAGGGUAGUGGAAUUUCCUGUGUAGCGGUGAAAUGCGUAGAUAUAGGAAGGAACACCAGUGGCGAAGGCGACUACCUGGACUGAUACUGACACUGAGGUGCGAAAGCGUGGGGAGCAAACAGGAUUAGAUACCCCAGUAGUCC
rnacentral:rRNA from 1 species